rnacentral:rRNA from 1 species
UCGGUCGGGGAUGGGCUCGCGGCCUAUCAGCUUGUUGGUGGGGUAGUGGCCUACCAAGGCGACGACGGGUAGCCGGCCUGAGAGGGCGACCGGCCACACUGGGACUGAGACACGGCCCAG